GAUGAACGCUGGCGGCGUGCUUAACACAUGCAAGUCGAACGGAAAGGCCCAAGCUUGCUUGGGUACUCGAGUGGCGAACGGGUGAGUAACACGUGGGUGAUCUGCCCUGCACUUCGGGAUAAGCCUGGGAAACUGGGUCUAAUACCGGAUAGGACGAUGGUUUGGAUGCCAUUGUGGAAAGUUUUUUCGGUGUGGGAUGAGCUCGCGGCCUAUCAGCUUGUUGGUGGGGUAAUGGCCUACCAAGGCGUCGACGGGUAGCCGGCCUGAGAGGGUGUACGGCCACAUUGGGACUGAGAGACGGCCCAGACUCCUACGGGGGGCAGCAGUGGGGAAUAUUGCACAAUGGGCGCAAGCCUGAGGCAGCGACGCCGCGUGGGGGAUGACGGCCUUCGGGUUGUAAACUCCUUUCGCUAGGGACGAAGCGUUUUUGUGACGGUACCUGGAGAAGAAGCACCGGCUAACUACGUG
rnacentral:rRNA from 1 species